UAGCAUAUCAAUAAGCGGAGGAAAAGAAACCAACAGGGAUUGCCCUAGUAACGGCGAGUGAAGCGGCAACAGCUCAAAUUUGAAAUCUGGCCCUAGCGGUCCGAGUUGUAAUUUGUAGAGGAUGCUUUUGGUGAGGUGCCUUCCGAGUUCCCUGGAACGGGACGCCGGAGAGGGUGAGAGCCCCGUACGGUUGGACGCCAAACCUCUGUAUAGCUCCUUCGACGAGUCGAGUAGUUUGGGAAUGCUGCUCUAAAUGGGAGGUAAAUUUCUUCUAAAGCUAAAUACCGGCCAGAGACCGAUAGCGCACAAGUAGAGUGAUCGAAAGAUGAAAAGCACUUUGAAAAGAGGGUUAAAUAGCACGUGAAAUUGUUGAAAGGGAAGCGUUUGCGACCAGACUUUUUCCAGGCGGAUCAUCCGGCGUUCUCGCCGGUGCACUCCGCCUGGUUGAGGCCAGCAUCGGUUUCCUUAGGGGGAUAAAGGCCUGGGGAACGUAGCUCCUUCGGGAGUGUUAUAGCCCCUGGCGUAAUACCCCUCGGGGGACCGAGGAACGCGCUC
rnacentral:rRNA from 2 species